AGUUUGAUCCUGGCUCAGGAUGAACGCUGGCGGCGUGCUUAACACAUGCAAGUCGAACGAAUGAACUCAAACGGAUUUCUUCGGAAUGAAGUUUGGAUGAUUUAGUGGCGAACGGGUGAGUAACACGUGAGAAACCUGCCUUUCACAGAGGGAUAGCCGUUGGAAACGACGAUUAAUACCUCAUGACAUCAAGAUACCGCAUGGUAAUUUGAUUAAAGAUUUAUCGGUGAAAGAUGGUCUCGCGUCUGAUUAGCUAGUUGGUAAGGUAGUGGCUUACCAAGGCGACGAUCAGUAGCCGGCCUGAGAGGGUGAACGGCCACACUGGAACUGAGACACGGUCCAGACUCCUACGGGAGGCAGCAGUGGGGAAUUUUGCACAAUGGGGGAAACCCUGAUGCAGCGACGUCGCGUGAACGAUGAAGGCCUUCGGGUUGUAAAGUUCUGUCCUUGGCGAAGAUAAUGACAGUAGCCAAGAAGCAAGCCCCGGCUAAAUACGUGCCAGCAGCCGCGGUAAUACGUAUGGGGCGAGCGUUGUCCGGAAUUAUUGGGCGUAAAGGGUACGUAGGCGGUUAUGUGGGUCCGUAUUAAAAGGCAUUGGCUCAACCAAUGUUCGGUAUGGAAACUGCAUAACUUGAGUAGAUGAGGGGUAAGUGGAAUUCCUAGUGUAGCGGUGAAAUGCUUAGAUAUUAGGAAGAAUACAGGUGCCGAAGGCCACUUACUGGAAUCUAACUGACGCUGAGGUACAAAAGCGGGGGGGGCAAAACAGAAUUAAAUACCCUGGGAAACCCCCCCCUGUAAA
rnacentral:rRNA from 1 species